rnacentral:rRNA from 1 species
CCAACAGGGAUUACCUCAGUAACGGCGAGUGAAGCGGUAACAGCUCAAAUUUGAAAUCUGGCCUCACGGUCCGAGUUGUAAUUUGUAGAGGAUGCUUCGAGCAUGAUCUGGCCUAAGUUCCUUGGAACAGGACGUCAUAGAGGGUGAGAAUCCCGUAUGCGGUCAUGGUGCCUACGCUCAUGUGAAGCUCCUUCGACGAGUCGAGUUGUUGGGAAUGCAGCUCAAAAUGGGUGGUAAAUUUCAUCUAAAGCUAAAUAUUGGCCAGAGACCGAUAGCGCACAAGUAGAGUGAUCGAAAGAUGAAAAGCACUUUGGAAAGAGAGUUAAACAGUACGUGAAAUUGUUGAAAGGGAAGCGCUU